rnacentral:tRNA from 1 species
UGCCAUAGCUCAGUAGGUAGAGCAAAGGACUGAAAAUCCUUGUGUCCCCGGUUCGACUCCUGGUGGCAC